UAUUCUCCACCACCACCUUACGAGUACAAGUCACCACCUCCUCCUUCUUCAUCACCACCUCCUCCUUAUGUGUAUCAGUCUCCACCUCCACCACCAAUUGAGCACAAAGCUCCACCUUAUGAAUACAAGUCACCACCUCCCCCUUCACCAUCACCUCCACCACCUUAUGAAUACAAGUCACCACCUCCUCCUUCACCAUCACCACCACCUCCUUAUGUGUACAAGUCACCACCUCCUCCUUCACCAUCACCACCCCCUCCUUAUGUGUACCAGUCACCACCUCCACCACCACAUGAGCAUAAGGCUCCACCUUAUGAAUAUAAGUCACCUCCUCCCCCAACACCAUCACCUCCACCUCCUUAUGAGUACAAGUCACCACCUCCUCCUUCACCAUCACCACCACCUCCUUAUGUGUACCAAUCACCACCUCCACCUCCUCAUGAGAAAAAGUCUCCAUCUUAUGAAUACAAGUCACCACCUCCCCCUUCACCAUCACCUCCACCUCCUUAUGAGUACAAAUCACCACCUCCUCCUUCACCAUCACCACCCCCUCCUUAUGUAUACAAAUCUCCACCUCCACCACCACAUGAACACAAGGCUCCACCAUACCAUUACAACUCUCCUCCUCCACCCUCUCCCUCACCUCCACCACCUUACUACUACAAGUCCCCACCACCACCUUCACCAUCUCCACCCCCACCUUACUACUACAAGUCCCCACCACCACCUGUAAAGUCUCCAGCUCCAAAGCCUUAUUACUACAAGUCUCCACCACCACCAUCUCCUUCACCCCCUCCACCAUACUACUAUAAGUCCCCACCACCCCCUUCACCAUCUCCCCCACCACCUUACUACUACAAGUCUCCACCACCACCAGUUAAGUCCCCAACUCCAAAACCUUACUACUACAAAUCUCCCCCUCCCCCAUCUCCUUCACCCCCACCACCUUACUAUUACAAGUCUCCACCACCACCUUCACCAUCUCCUCCACCACCUUAUUACUACAAGUCCCCACCUCCACCAGUUAAAUCCCCAGCUCCAAAGCCAUACUACUACAAAUCUCCACCACCUCCAUCAUCUUCACCACCUCCACCUUAUUACUACAAGUCACCACCACCACCAAUUAAGUCCCCAGCUCCAAAGCCAUACUACUAUAAAUCUCCUCCUCCUCCAUCUCCGUCACCCCCACCACCUUACUAUUACAAGUCUCCCCCACCACCUUCACCAUCUCCUCCACCACCUUACUACUAUAAGUCCCCACCUCCACCAGUUAAAUCCCCAGCUCCAAAGCCUUACUACUAUAAAUCUCCACCACCUCCAUCACCUUCACCACCUCCACCUUACUAUUAUAAGUCCCCACCACCACCAGUUAAGUCCCCAGCUCCAAAGCCAUACUACUAUAAUUCUCCACCACCUCCAUCACCUUCACCACCUCCACCUUACUACUACAAGUCCCCACCACCUCCUUCACCUUCUCCUCCCCCACCCUACUACUACAAGUCUCCACCUCCACCAGUUAAGUCCCCAGCACCAACACCUUACUAUUACAAAUCUCCUCCCCCACCUUCUCCUUCACCCCCACCACCUUACUACUACAAGUCUCCACCACCUCCUUCACCAUCUCCUCCCCCACCUUAUUACUACAAGUCACCACCUCCACCAGUUAAGUCUCCAGCUCCAACGCCUUAUUACUACAAAUCUCCUCCCCCACCUUCCCCAUCUCCCCCACCACCUUACUACUACAAGUCUCCACCUCCACCAGUUAAGUCUCCAACUCCAACUCCUUACUAUUAUAAGUCCCCACCACCACCUUCACCAUCUCCUCCACCACCUUACUAUUACAAGUCCCCACCUCCACCAGUUAAGUCUCCAGCACCAACUCCUUACUACUAUAACUCUCCACCACCACCUUCACCAUCUCCUCCACCACCUUACUACUACAAGUCCCCGCCUCCACCAGUUAAGUCUCCAGCUCCAACACCUUACUAUUACAAAUCUCCUCCUCCACCAGUUAAGUCUCCAGCUCCAACACCUUACUAUUACAAAUCUCCUCCUCCACCAGUUAAGUCUCCAGCUCCAACACCUUACUAUUACAAAUCUCCUCCUCCACCAGUUAAGUCUCCAGCUCCAACACCUUACUACUACAAAUCUCCUCCUCCACCUUCAGCAUCUCCUCCACCACCUUACUACUAUACAUCCCCGCCUCCACCAAUUAAGUCUCCAACUCCAACACCAUACUACUACAAAUCUCCUCCUCCCCCUUCACCCACACCUUACUACUAUAAUUCUCCUCCUCCACCAGUUUCGU
rnacentral:lncRNA from 1 species